UACGAAGGGUGCAAGCGUUACUCGGAAUUACUGGGCGUAAAGCGUGCGUAGGUGGUUUGUUAAGUCUGUUGUGAAAGCCCCGGGCUCAACCUGGGGGCUGCGCUUGAUACUGAUUGGCUUGAAUGCGGGAGAGGAUAGUGGAAUUCCCAGUGUAGAGGUGAAAUUCGUAGAUAUUGGGAAGAACACCGGUGGCGAAGGCGGCUAUCUGGCCCGUAAUUGACGCUGAGGCGCGAAAGCGUGGGGAGCAAACAGG
rnacentral:rRNA from 1 species